AUCCAGCUGACGAGUCCCAAAUAGGACGAAAUGCGCAUCCUGGAU
rfam:Trichobilharzia regenti genome assembly, scaffold: TRE_scaffold0029642